rnacentral:rRNA from 1 species
ACUCAAAUGAAUUGACGGGGGCUCGCACAAGCGGUGGAUCAUGUGGUUUAAUUCGACGAUAAACGAAGAACCUUACCGAGGCUAGACAUCCAGACGAAUCUCAGAGGAAACUUUGAGAGCCUUCGGGCGGCUGGACAGGUGAUGCAUGGCUGUCGUCAGUUCGUGGCUUGAGCUGUUCCCUUAAGUGGGGUAACGAACGCAACCCUUAUUGUCUGUUACAAGUGUCAGGCAAGACUGCCCCCCAAGAGCACAUACAAAUUUGUGUGCUGUUGGGGGGGAGGAAGGUGAGGAUGACGCCAAGUCAGCAUAUCCCUCUGAUGCCUCGGGCUACACACGUGAUACAAUGGAUGGUACAACAGGCAGCGACGGAGCGAUCCUGAGCUAAUCCUUAUAAAGCCAUCCUCAGUUCGGAUUGUAGUCUGCAACUCGACUACAUGAAGUUGGAAUCGCUAGUAAUCGCGGGUCAGCAUACCGCGGUGAAUACGUUCUCGAGCCUUGUACACACCGCCCGU